AAUCAACGCUGGCGGCGUGCCUAACACAUGCAAGUCGAACGCGAAAGUCCCGCAAGGGAUUAGUAGAGUGGCAAACGGGUGAGUAACACGUGGGUGACCUGCCUUCGAGCGGGGGAUAACGUCCCGAAAGGGACGCUAAUAUCGCAUAACAUCCUGCCUUUUAAGAGGUGGAGAUCAAAGGCCGGGGAUUCGCAAGAACCUGGCACUUGAAGAGGGGCCCGCGCCUGAUUAGCUAGUUGGUGGGGUAAUGGCUCACCAAGGCAACGAUCAGUAUCCGGCCUGAGAGGGCGGACGGACACACUGGGACUGAGACACGGGCCCAGACUCCUACGGGAGGCAGCAGGUGGGGAAUUGUUCGCAAUGGGCGCAAGCCUGACGACGCAACGCCGCGU
rnacentral:rRNA from 1 species